AAAGUCCUGUAAUCUUAUGUUCAUGGGCGUUUACACAAUGGAGUUACUGUUCAUCAUGGGGGUACCGUGGACAAGCCCAGGGCUGCCGGCGAGUCAUGCCAUCCUUACACGUUUCUCCUUGUAAGACAUGAACUUAUGAAUUCAACAGGUGAAGAUUUACAACUUGAUAAAUCAGCUUUGUGAGAGCCACCUAAGCUGAAGAUUCCCUUGAGAACAAGUACUGUCCUGCGGUUUCAUGGCCCUUCUUCCAUUUGUGGUUCUUGCGAAGUGGAAUUUAAAUGACAUCUUAUCAAGAUGGAUAAACCCUAGUUUCCCAGUGCUGGAAUAUAGAAAAUGGAUGGACAAGUAAAUCCCACUCAGCACCCAUAGUCCAGGCAUGGGGACCUCAACACACCUGAGCCCCAGACAUCACCUUUCAUUCUGGACCUACCAUGAAAGACUUCUGAAUCCAGGAAGAGAAACUGACUGGGCAACAUGUUAUUCAG
rnacentral:lncRNA from 1 species